AUCCUUAGACGAUCUGGGCUGCACGCGCGCUACAAUGGUAAAGCCAGAAAGUAUACAACCUUUUCUGAAAAGAAUGGGUAAUCACCAAACUUUAUCGUGACUGGGAUUGACUCUUGUAAUCAGAGUCAUGAACGAGGAAUUCCUAGUAAACGCAAGUCAUCAACUUGCAUUUAUUAUGUCUCUGCCCUUUGUACAGACUACCCGUCGCUACUAUCGAUGAAUGAUUUAGUGAGAAUAAAGGAGGCAACAAAUCUAUUCAAACUUGAUUAUUUAGAGAAAGUAUAAGUCGUAACA
rnacentral:rRNA from 1 species